rnacentral:rRNA from 1 species
UACGUAGGCAGCAAGCGUUGUUCGGAGUUACUGGGCGUAAAGGGUGCGUAGGCGGCCUUAUAAGUAUGGUGUGAAAUCUCCCGGCUUAACUGGGAGGGUGCGCUAUAGACUGUGGGGCUAGAGUGUGGGAGAGGAAAGUGGAAUUCCUGGUGUAGCGGUGAAAUGCGUAGAUAUCGGGAAGAAUACCCGUGGCGAAGGCGGCACUCUGGGACGGUACUGACGCUGAGACGCGAAAGCGUGGGGAGCGAACAGG